ACAGUUGCUGUCCUAAACCCAGAACCACAUGGGUUGUUAAAUGAGGCUCUCAUGUGACUCCUAUGAGGAAGAGACAAGAACCCAAGACAAACAGAGCCUUGGUAGUACAGUGGUCUAAAGCACCCUGUUAUUAAGACCAGCUGCCUGCAAUUACUGCAGGUUCGAAUCUCGCCAGGCUCAAGGUUGACUCAGCCUUCCAUCCUUUCUAAGAUCAAGCAAGGAAGGCAGCCCUGGGCCAGAGACAGCGCCGGAUGACGAAACAAUCCUCCUAACCUUUCACGUCAGAACGCCCGCCAGGAAACUCCAUCAAAAUGAAUGAGACUCAGCUGGAACAAACCCGCAAAGGACUGGGCUGUAAUUCUCUACUCACCAUUGAAUUCUAUGGAGCCUGGUCGCGUUUUCUUUCCCUGAAACUGGUGGACUCCCGCUAGUAUGUUGUGCCCAACGAAUUGUUCUGGAAGACAUUUCAUCUCCUUCCAUGCUCCACAGCAUCCAGAAGAAAACCCCUAGUUUUCCAACAAAGAACUUCCAAAUCAUUUGGAAAAUUUGCCGAAAAUAAGUUUUUCUGCAGUAAAAUAUUAAUAAAUUCAG